CCUCUCUCAGGGUCGCACUUGGAGAGUUUCCAGUGCUCACCAGUUUCGACUACGGAAGAGAGAGUCAAGCAGAGGCUUAUCCAUUCCAUUCCUAACUUGGGCAGUGGCUAGCGAGUGGAAGACAAUCUGCUACAAGC